rnacentral:misc_RNA from 1 species
GAUGAAGAACGUAGCGAAAUGCGAUAAGUAGUGUGAAUUGCAGAAUUCAGUGAAUCAUCGAAUCUUUGAACGCACAUUGCGCCCCUUGGUAUUCCAUGGGUCAUGCCUGUUCGAGCGUCAUUUGUACCUUCAAGCUCUGCUUGGUGUUGGGUGUUUGUCUCGCCUCUGCGUGUAGACUCGCCUUAAAACAAUUGGCAGCCGGCGUAUUGAUUUCGGAGCGCAGUACAUCUCGCGCUUUGCACUCAUAACGACGACGUCCAAAAGUACAUUUUUACACUCUUGACCUCGGAUCAGGUAGGGAUACCCGCUGAACUUAAGCAUAUCAAUAAGCGGAGGGA